rnacentral:misc_RNA from 1 species
GUGAACCUGCGGAUGGAUCAUUUU